UCUGUUCCUUCUUUCCAUUUUUUCAUUCUCUUUGUUUUUCUGCAUUUUUUUACAUCUAAAGCUGUGAUUUUUUACACCAAAACUGUGAUUUUUAUCUCAGAUUCCAUGACAACGAUAUCAUAUUUGCGUUCCUCUCCCGGUUUGCAUUUCUAUAUCGUGAUCUUGGUGGAAGAGCACACCAAAGCUGUCAUUUUUAUCUCAAAACUCUGUGAGUGCAGAGAAGGUGAAAGAACACUAAAGCUGCGAUUUUUAUCUCCAAAAAGCUUCAAUUUUUAUCUCAAAUAGAUUUGUUUUCUUUGUUUCUCUGUCUAUGUUUUCUUUGUUUCUUUGUUUCUCACAAUACAAAAGCUUACAUUUUUUUAGUCAGCCUCUAUUGCAUGCAGAGAAGGUGGAAGAGCAGACUACAAUUGCUGUUUUUAUCUGAAAAAUCCACGAAGAAGGUGGAAGAAGACACUAAAGCUAUGAUUUUUAUCUACAAAAAGCUUCGAUUUUUAUCUCAAACAGUUGUAGUAAUGGCAGGAAUUCUUGAUAGAAAAUCAGCUGACUCCAGUGAUAGGGUAGCUGAUAAUCAAGAAGCAGCAAAAUUGGAGUGAUGAUGACCCCAUUUGAUUGAUGAAGAAAUUUUUAUGUUACUUUGUUUUAACAGUUUAAAGUUGUAAUUUCAUAAUUAUGAUUUCUAGACAAUGUAUUUAUUAAUAUUGUAUUCAAACAUUGUCAAAAUAGACAGAGUUUCACAAAA